rnacentral:rRNA from 1 species
UACGUAGGGACCAAGCGUUGUUCGGAUUUACUGGGCGUAAAGGGCGCGUAGGCGGCUUAACAAGUGACUUGUGAAAUCUCCGGGCUUAACUCGGAACGGCCAAGUGAAACUGUCAAGCUAGAGUGCAGAAGGGGCAAUCGGAAUUCUUGGUGUAGCGGUGAAAUGCGUAGAUAUCAAGAGGAACACCUGAGGUGAAGACGGGUUGCUGGGCUGACACUGACGCUGAGGCGCGAAAGCCAGGGGAGCAAACGGG